CUAUACUGCCAGGGGUCUCGGUAGGAGGCGGAGGAGAACUCCGCCCCGGAGAAAGGACGCAGCAUAAGCACCAGAGAGUCUCAGAUUUUGGCAGUUAAUCCUAGUAUAAAUUAAGCAAUUUAUACUAGGAAGCAGAGUGGGAACUCAUCGCAAACGUCAAUCCCAACUGAAGUCCAGUGACCUGAGAUGCCACCUAAAUCCAAAGGUCCUAAAAUAUGAAAGAGUCUCAGGCCUCCCAGAGGUUCUGAGAGCCUAGAUUCCAGGAGUGGAAUGAGAAGGAGGAUGAUAAAGCAAACACUGAUUAAGCACUCCUCAAAGCAUUGUUUUAAAAGCUCUGUAUGAAUUAACUCAACAGCCCUGGGAAGGAAGUCCUAUGGUUUGUUCUAGUGUGAGAAAACUGAAGACCAAAGGGUCAAGUCAUAGUCAAGGGCAGUGAAACCAGGCCAGCUGGCUCCAGAGCCUGACAGUGUUGGAUGGCCCUUGACAUGCUCCAUGAAGAGUGCCCUUGGCUUGAAGUCUCCAAAGCUGUGACCAGCUCUCCAGUCUCCAGGACCCAGUCUGGGCUCUCUCAACCCAUCACAACUUCCCCCAUCACAGGGAGAUGGAGGAAAAGGAGGUGAACAACGACAACAGAAUUCACAGGAGCCCGUUUUAAUAUGCGUUCCUAAAACUCUCACUUUGAAAUCAGGUUGAAAAAGGCUAAAGCUGGAAAUCUUACGAAAUAAAGCUUGUGCUAAAAACCAUGAAA